AGAGUUUGAUCCUGGCUCAGGACGAACGCUGGCGGCGUGCCUAAUACAUGCAAGUCGAGCGAGCUUGCCUAGAUGAUUUUAGUGCUUGCACUAAAUGAAACUAGAUACAAGCGAGCGGCGGACGGGUGAGUAACACGUGGGUAACCUGCCCAAGAGACUGGGAUAACACCUGGAAACAGAUGCUAAUACCGGAUAACAACACUAGACGCAUGUCUAGAGUUUGAAAGAUGGUUCUGCUAUCACUCUUGGAUGGACCUGCGGUGCAUUAGCUAGUUGGUAAGGUAACGGCUUACCAAGGCAAUGAUGCAUAGCCGAGUUGAGAGACUGAUCGGCCACAUUGGGACUGAGACACGGCCCAAACUCCUACGGGAGGCAGCAGUAGGGAAUCUUCCACAAUGGACGAAAGUCUGAUGGAGCAACGCCGCGUGAGUGAAGAAGGGUUUCGGCUCGUAAAGCUCUGUUGGUAGUGAAGAAAGAUAGAGGUAGUAACUGGCCUUUAUUUGACGGUAAUUACUUAGAAAGUCACGGCUAACUACGUGCCAGCAGCCGCGGUAAUACGUAGGUGGCAAGCGUUGUCCGGAUUUAUUGGGCGUAAAGCGAGUGCAGGCGGUUCAAUAAGUCUGAUGUGAAAGCCUUCGGCUCAACCGCGG
rnacentral:rRNA from 1 species